rnacentral:tRNA from 1 species
GGUCGCGUGGCUCAGCUGGUAGAGCGUCGCAUUCACAUUGCGAAGGUCCUUGGUCCGAAUCCAAGCGCGACCA